AUUAAGUCCAUGUAAGGUAUUAAAAUCAUAUUAUUUAUAUUAUAUUAUUUAUAUUAUACAAUUUAAAUAACAUAUUUAUAUUAUUUAUAUUAUAUCAUAACAAAACUGGGCUUUGUAAUAUAUGCCUCCUUCAUUCUUUAUAUGU
ensembl:miRNA predicted gene, 44387